GCCGGCUUAGCUCAGUGGUGAGAGCGUCUGUCUUGUAAACAGAAGGUCGCAGGUUCGAUCCCUGCAUUCGGCA
rnacentral:tRNA from 1 species